rnacentral:tRNA from 1 species
GCCCCGGUAGCUCAGCUGGAUAGAGCAGGACCCUUCUAAGGUCAAGGUCAGAGGUUCGAAUCCUCUCCGGGGUACCA